GACGAACGCUGGCGGCGUGCUUAACACAUGCAAGUCGAACGGAAAGGCCCUGCUUUUGUGGGGUGCUCGAGUGGCGAACGGGUGAGUAACACGUGAGUAACCUGCCCUGGACUUUGGGAUAACUUCAGGAAACUGGGGCUAAUACCGGAGAGGAGCUCCUGCUGCAUGGGGGGGGUUGGAAAGUUUCGGCGGUUGGGGAUGGACUCGCGGCUUAUCAGCUUGUUGGUGGGGUAGUGGCUUACCAAGGCUUUGACGGGUAGCCGGCCUGAGAGGGUGACCGGCCACAUUGGGACUGAGAUACGGACCAGACUCCUACGGGAGGCAGCAGUGGGGAAUAUUGCACAAUGGGCGGAAGCCUGAUGCAGCAACGCCGCGUGCGGGAUGACGGCCUUCGGGUUGUAAACCGCUUUCGCCUGUGACGAAGCGUGAGUGACGGUAAUGGGUAAAGAAGCACCGGCUAACUACGUG
rnacentral:rRNA from 1 species